AGUCAGGGCGUGUGCGAGUCAGGCACUCGGCCUGCCCGGUCGCAAGCUCAGCCUGGCUCAGCACUGCCCCCUCCGCCCCCGGCUUCCCCGCGCAGCAGUGGCGGGUCACGCAGCUCCGACCACGUCCUCCGCGCACCAGCGUGGACCUGCGAGACAAGGCCUACGGGCUGGCAGGGCGGACGGAGUCGCGGGGCAAGGCGUGCGGACUGCUCGCGCCUGCCGGAUGUAGCCCCGCCGCUGUGUUGUGGGCACCAACCCCCGGGGAACACUGGGAACUGGUGCGGGGCACGGGGUUGCGGCCUCGAGGAUGAGCGAUCCACUCCGUGCGCCAUUCUCUGCGGUGUGCCCAGACUCCCGGGGCGCAGCCGUGCCAGCUCGCGGGGCCUGCCAGAGGGGCGGCGAUCCCGUCCGGACUGAAGGGUCUCCGUACCUGUGCAGGUGUCGUUGCAACCGUCCUCCAACUGGAGGGACCCUGAGGGGCCCGGGGGCAGGGGGGAGGUGGAGGACCGCCAAAGGGCAGCUGCUGUCCUGGAAACGUGUUAGCACCUCCUGUGAAGUGGAGUCGUCUCUGUUGCUUAAGCCGCUUUUACAAUUGAAUCCAUAGCUGGAGUCACCACAAGUAUGGCAGCAGGUGAGUUCCUGCAAGAGAGUCCCCAAACCACCCUGAGCCCUGCUGGCUGGGAUUCUGAUAAAAGGAGUCCUAAGCACCCAGGCUGUUUGUUUGGGGAACGUGCAGCGCGUCCUGGAGGCUGAGAACAGGAGGAGAUGUAGAGAAUCAGAUGUAACUGCGUUACCAUUACUGUCCUUGAUGGAGUCUGCCUGCAAACAGGAUAUUCUGUCAAGGUAUAGAUAGGUAACAGCGGACAUGCUUGAAAACGAGGUGUCUGCUGUCCUUGGGAGGGCCUACUUGCAAACGAGAGGCUCCUUCAAGGUUUAGAUUGAAAACAAGGUGUCUGCUAUCCCUGGGAGGACUUGCCUGCAAACGGGACGUUCUGCCAAGUGGGCUAGGAGGGCGCUGAGAAAAAUUUUAUUAUCUGUUCUUAACAAAGAGCAGAGCUCAACAUACUCCGGGCCGAGAAUAGACUAGCCAUGAGAAGCGGGUCACUUCUGAUUAGGAAGUAAACUUCUGUGUGCUAUGUUUAAUUAGCUGAAAGACCUGAUUCACUGCUGUUGGAAGGCUGCCUUCUUUGUUCACAAUACUAUAAAAAGAUCGCUGUACACAGUAAAGGACUUUUUUCCUGCUGCUG